UCUGCAACUUUCUUUCUAAAUUAACCAAAUGUUUUUUAGAGUAUCAUUCAUAUAUCUGAAUGCGCUUGUUGGUUGUUUCUUUUUUAUAUUUGUAGCAAUCAUCUUCUACUCCUUUUAAAUGAUACACAUAGAAAACAGUUCACAUUCUAAGGUAUAAAAACCCAUUCUUCUUUGUUUCUUUUUUUUUUUAUGGUUUAUUUUCUAUGUUUUGGAAUGUUAUUCUUCUUCUUAAAACCAACUUAGUGGUGUUUUGUUUGCUAUACUGAUAAAUACUAUAUGAUAAUUCAGUAGCCUCUUCUACUUACCCAAUAACUUAAGCUUUGAGAAGACGAAUUAGCCUUUAUCAUGGUAUCAAACCAAUGGCUCUGCUGGAUUGUUGCAUUUAUGCUUAGGAAUUUGGGUUUUAGAGGAGAAGAUAAGAAAAACCCACAAUGCCUUUCCUCUAAACUGGUUGUUAGAACUCUUUCAUGGAUUCACAUGGCUGUUUGUAACUUUAACUAUAAGUCUUCAGAUUAAAAAAAUCCCAAGAGCAUGGAUGUGGUUGUUUUCUAUUCUCAUAUUCUUUGUUUCUUGUAUAUUAUGUGCUUUAACCACAUCUUAUGCAAUUGGAAACACAGAAUUGUCCCUCAGGGUAGCUUUGGAUGUUAUAUCUUUUCUAGGAGCAACUUUGUUGCUGUUAUGCACAUACAAAGCAUGUGAAUGUAAAGAUGAUGAAAGAGAAAUUAAUGACAGUCUUUGCUUAUAGAAUUGGAGAAUUUCCGUUCUGGUUUCACCAGAUGUGGACAACAAUUCUCCAACUGUGUAUUGCAUUAGUAAUUCUGUUCCGCACAAUUGGACUAGCAACACUGGCAUCAUUGACAGUGAUAGUUCUCACUGUGCUUUGCAACGCUCCACUAGCUAAGUUACAGCACAAGUUUCAGAGCAAAAUUAUGGUGGCACAAGAUGAGAGAUUAAAGGCUAGUUCAAAGGCACUCGUGAAUAUGAAAGUGCUGAAGCUAUAUGCAUGGGAAACACAUUUUAAAAAUCAACCCUCUUAGCAACAAUUCUUGGAGAAGUUUCUAAAACAAAGGGAACUGUAAGCUUUUAUUUUCUUUUUACCACACAAACACUCCUAAAUCAUGUGACACUCUGAAUUGGUUAUAACUUGGAUGCUAUUCCUAUUUUUAUUAUUAAAAUAACAACAACCAGUGUGUUGGUAUCAGUUAAAUGGAUGUAUUAAUGUCCUAUCAUAUAAUUCAACUUACUGUAGUGAAUUUUAUGUGCCAUACAUUUCAGUUGUAAUAUUAAAUAUUAAUUGGGGUCUGAUUCUCUAUUCUGAAUUACAGAUUGAUGAUGUUCAUGGGAAGUUAGCAUAUUCACGAGCAUAUGCUCUGUAUCAGAAUGCUGAUAUCUAUCUAUUGGAUGAUCCAUUUAGUGCUGUUGAUGCACAUACUGCAAAAGAUUUGUUUAAUGUAAUUACAUAUUUUCUUCACAUACUACUUGUACAUGUCAGGAAUACAUCAUAGAAGGACUCAAAGGAAAAACAGUCUUGCUCGUCACUCAUCAAGUCGACUUCCUCCCAGCAUUUGAUUCUAUUUUGUUAAUGUCUGAUGGGGUGAUUCUACAAGCUGGUCCAUAUCACAACCUAUUGAACAAGGAAUACUGGUCUCAUUUUCAGUCUGCAGAAUCGCAAUGAUGCUACCAAUACUUCAUAAGCCAGCUCUAUUUUUUCUCACUCACUGCUAUCUCUUGUACAAGCAA